rnacentral:rRNA from 1 species
AAACCAGCACCUCAAGUGGUCAGGAUGAUUAUUGGGCCUAAAGCAUCCGUAGCCGGCUCUGUAAGUUUUCGGUUAAAUCUGUACGCUCAACGUACAGGCUGCUGGGAAUACUGCAGAGCUAGGGAGUGGGAGAGAUAGACGGUACUCGGGAGGAAGUGGUAAAAUGCUUUGAUCUCUCGAUGACCACCUGUGGCGAAGGCGGUCUAUCAGAACACGUCCGACGGUGAGGGAUGAAAGCUGGGGGAGCAAACCGGAUUAGAAACCCCAGUAGUCC